rnacentral:rRNA from 1 species
UACAGAGGGUGCGAGCGUUGUUCGGAAUUACUGGGCGUAAAGCGCGCGCAGGCGGCUUCCUAAGUCCAUCGGUCAAAUGCCGGGGCUCAACCCCGAGCGUGCCGAGGAUACUGGGAGGCUGGAGACACGUAGAGGCAAGCGGAAUUCCGGGUGUAGCGGUGGAAUGCGUAGAGAUCCGGAAGAACACCGGAGGCGAAGGCGGCUUGCUGGGCGUGAUCUGACGCUGAGGCGCGAAAGCGUGGGGAGCGAACAGG